GUGGGGAAUAUUGGACAAUGGGCGAAAGCCUGAUCCGGCCAUGCCGCGUGUGUGAAGAAGGUCUUCGGAUUGUAAAGCACUUUAAGUUGGGAGGAAGGGCAGUAAGUUAAUACCUUGCUGUUUUGACGUUACCGACAGAAUAAGCACCGGCUAACUUCGUGCCAGCAGCCGCGGUAAUACGAAGGGUGCAAGCGUUAAUCGGAAUUACUGGGCGUAAAGCGCGCGUAGGUGGUUUUGCAAGUUGGAGGUGAAAUCCCCGGGCUCAACCUGGGAACUGCCUCCAAAACUGCAUGACUAGAGUACGGUAGAGGGUAGUGGAAUUUCCUGUGUAGCGGUGAAAUGCGUAGAUAUAGGAAGGAACACCAGUGGCGAAGGCGACUACCUGGACUGAUACUGACACUGAGGUGCGAAAGCGUGGGGAGCAAACAGGAUUAGAUACCCCGGUAGUCC
rnacentral:rRNA from 1 species